GAUGAACGCUGGCGGCGGGCCUAAUACAUGCAAGCCGAACGGCAAGUUCGUUCGCAUUUUGGGUCCUAGAGUGGCGCAAGGGUGCGUAACACGUAUGCAACCUGCCCUCGACAGGGGGAUAGCUCCCGGAAAGGGGAAUUAACCCCCAAUAGCACCUUGGGAGGCAUGGUGGUGAUGGUAAAACCGCAGGGGUUGGGGAUGGGCGCGCGGGUUAUUAGCUUGUUGGCGGGGGAAAGGCCCACCCAGGGCGUGAUCCAUAGGGGUUCUGAGAGGGAGGUCCCCCACACUGGCACUGAGAUACGGGCCCGACUCCUACGGGCGGCAGCAGUAGGGAGUAUUGGACAAUGGUUGCAAGACUGAUCCAGCCAUGCCGCGUGCAGGAAGAAGGCCUUCUGGGUCGUACACUGCUUUUUCCUGUGGAUAAAAUACCCGUGCGCGGGGAAUUGAAGGUAACAGGGGAAUAAGCCACGGCUAACUACGUG
rnacentral:rRNA from 1 species